AAUCCCCUGCUGUGUUUGUAAAACUUUUUGACAUGCUGGAGCCAACACUUUUUUAUUAAUUGUCGUGAUGCAUGUUGUGGUGUGCAGGUCGGACUUGUAUCCGAAAGCCUAAAGCAGCACAGAACGGCGCCUGUUUGUAACAGGCUACAGUGUCAGUUGUGAACGGCAUAUGCGGGGGUUAU
rfam:Mucispirillum schaedleri ASF457 genomic scaffold acYAd-supercont1.3, whole genome shotgun sequence.